GUUGGUUUACAACAACCAAGCAGUUGCAUUCAUCUCAAGCAUGAUGAAGUUCUGUACUUCCCUACGUGGAGAUGAGCUGUAAUUCCGACGUCAUCGCACUGAGGCACCAAAGUUGGAUGCAUGAAACCAGGCAGCAUGACAAACAUCCUCAAGGAAGACAGGUGCUUUGCAUCAAGAACAAAGCUAUGACACCAGGCUCUCCUGAAAGGGACAUGGGACUGGAGUUCUGCUCUUCAGUGUCACCCAGGCAGAAGACAGCACGGUGUUCCCUGGAGCUUCAUACCUGCGGAUUAGUUGGCGAGUACAUCCAUGGCCAGCGGCAUCUGCUGAAGACAAUAGCUAGGAGGAAUUCAAGACAAGCUCCCUGCCAUACCAUGAAAUCCCAUUCCAUGCUGAUCAGUACCUUCCUGGACCGUCACCAAGGCUGCAACCUUUCAGCAUGUGCCUAAACCUCUGCCACUUGUGCUCACGGAGUAGCUGAUUGCAGUUGCUGUCAAGCAGCUCUCAGAGGAGAUGGACUUGGAUGUUGGCCCUCACAGCUGCUUGCUGGCAGCAAAGCAAUGAAGAGAUCAUGGAUGAAGAGUUGUAGGGGAGGGGAACCUGCUCAUCCAGGCAUGGACACAGCUUGGGAACAAACAGGAGGAAUUAGCAGCCUGCAUGAACUGCAGUGCUGUGAGCUCUUUGGCAUCACAGAGGAAUGGUAAGAUAGCUCACACAAUCGACAUGCUGUGGUGGAUGGGUACAUGAUGCUCAGGAAGGGCAGCAAGAGAGCAGGGGGAAAGCAUGGAGUUCCGCCUGCAAAUGGGAGAUAAGCCAGCUGGGAACUUAGGGGUCAUAAUUGGUGGGCAGACCAACACGGGUGAUUUUGUCAUGAGUGUCAAAGGGUUGUGAUCAGUGGCAUGAAGUCCAGCUGGAGGCCAGGUGGUGUACCCAAGGGGUCAUCGCUGGGAAUGGUGCUGUUUAACACUCUCAUUAAUAACCCAGAUGAUGGGGCAGAGAGCACCCUCAGCAAGUCUGCAGAUGGCACAACGCAGGAAGGAGCAGUUGACAGAGCAGGUGGGUGUGCGAGCAUCCAGAGGAACCUGGGCAGGCUGGAGACCUGAGCAGACAGGAACCUCAUAACAUUCAGCAAUGGGAAAUGCAAAGACCUGCACCUGGGAAAGAACCAACCCCAUUGCACCAGCACCUGCUGGGGGCCAAACAGCUGGAGAGCAGCUUGCCAGAAGAGGACCUCGGGUUUCUGGUGCACAACAACUUGAACAUGAAGUCCAACUGGGGUGUGUUAGGCAGAGCGUUGCAAGGUCAAGGGAGGUGAUUCUUCCCCUCUGCUCAGCACUGGUGCUGGGUCCAGUGCUGGGCUCCCAGUACAAGAGCGACCUGGACAUGCUGGAGUGAGUCCGGUGAAGGGCUGCAGAGACGACUGAAAGUUUGGAGCAUCUGACAUAUGAGGAGACUGAGAGAGAUGGGACCAUUCAGUCUGGACCAUUUUUCUUGCCCUUUUAAUUCUAGUUUUCUUUUAUUAGACUGAACACCCCUGCAAGUACCCUUCACUC